GACAGAGGGUGCAAGCGUUGUUCGGAAUUAUUGGGCGUAAAGGGCGCGUAGGCGGCUGGACAAGUCGAAUGUGAAAGCCCAGGGCUUAACCUUGGAAGUGCAUUUGAAACUGUCUAGCUUGAGUCUCGGAGAGGGUCGUGGAAUUCCCAGUGUAGAGGUGAAAUUCGUAGAUAUUGGGAGGAACACCAGUGGCGAAGGCGACCGCCUGGCCGAAGACUGACGCUGAGGCGCGAGAGCGCGGGGAGCAAACAGG
rnacentral:rRNA from 1 species